GGAACGACACCGACCACGUGGUGACCGCAUAAUUAUCGUUAGCCCAGUUUGACCCCGACGAUACAUCCUUUUCAACCAAGGAGUGGAUUGAGGAAGUUGAUCGAAUUAAAUUCGAAACAGGUACGUCUGAUACUGUUGUAGUAUUAAAAGCUGGGCAAGCCCUGAAAGGCCGUGCAGCCAAAAUUUUUCAAAAUUGGAAACCGAUUGUUAGAAAUUGGUCAACAUUUUCUAGGAAUGUAGAGAUAGCGUUCCCUGAGAAAGGAACUCCGGCCACGAGGCUUAAAGCUAGCAUGUUGAUAAGUAGUGCAAAUUUUAGUUCGUUAGUAGAGUAUGCUCAUGCCAAGUUGAAUUCGAUCAGGAAACUUUGAUAUCACUAAUGUAGAAGUUAAGAAUAGAUUAUUAGUGCAAGAACCUAAGAAUGAAAUGCAGCAGCUGAAAUUGCCUUCUUCAUAGGAUUCCGACGCUCCAUAUUAGUCUCAGAUAAUAGUAGAAAACUAGAAAAAUGAAGCAGCUACUGAAAACAGAAUCAGACGAAACCUUUCAUGGGAAUUGUAGGAACUGUGGAAAAUUUAGGCAUAGAAAGUUAGAUUAUUGUAAAGAAACGUUGUUUUAAUUCUAAUCCAGAAAAUUCCAGUCUUGAAUGUAAUUUCUGUGACAUACUGAAGAUUUUUAUUUUGUUAAGAAAAAGAGAGAAACAAGUUCAGUCAAACUUUAGUUACCCAGUGUUCGUAACAAUCAAUUAAGCACAUUAGAUUUGAAUCUAGACUUGUCAGGAUUGGACGAGCGAUUAGUAAAGUAUUGAAUAAAUCGAAUAUUGUCAAAUAACACAAAUUUUCAAGCAUGCCGACUAACUUAGUCGGAACAUACCUAGUGAAAAUAAGAUACUGGCGCUUUGUUAUGUUUCAGGAAAAUCAAAACCAAUUGCAAAAGUUUGAUCUGUUUUGUACGUGAAUUCUUAUGAAGAUUUACAUAAGACAAGCGCUCUCAAGAAUGUAAAAUGUUCCCGUUGAGCAAUCCAGGAGUAUAGUAUAACGCUGGCAGGUGACAUCUAUCGAAUGAAGAAAAACUGAAGCCAACAUUUAUUGGACCUUUCGAAGUGCAAGCAGUCCUACCAAACGAUCUAUAUGCCUUGAGAAGAGUAGGAGUCCAGAAUAGAACCAAUGAGAU